GGUGGUUUGCUGCACCCAUCAACCCAUCAUCUACAUUAGCAAUUUUUAGGACUUUUCCUCCUGUUGGAAAUUUGAUGAGCAUGAAGAAAAAGCUUAAUGGAAGAAACAAAUCCGAGGAGAGAGUUUAUGGAAAAUGGAGAAAGGACAAUGAGAACCGACAAAGAUUGAAUAAGAGAGAGUAAAGAACAAGAUGAACAGAUAAUAACUCAGAGACCAGAAUGAACUUAUAAAAUAAGGUCUGGUCUUGCCCGGGCUGGAGUGCGGUGGCUUG
rnacentral:lncRNA from 1 species